UACAGAGACUGCAAGCGUUAUUCGGAUUCACUGGGCGUAAAGGGUGCGCAGGCGGCCAAGUGUGUGAAGUGUGAAAGCCCGGGUCUUAACCCCGGAAUUGCACCUCAAACUACUUGGCUAGAGCAUUGGAGAGGGUAGCAGAAUUCACGGUGUAGCAGUGAAAUGCGUAGAUAUCGUGAGGAAUACCAGAGGCGAAGGCGGCUACCUGGACAAUUGCUGACGCUCAGGCACGAAAGCGUGGGGAGCAAAAGGG
rnacentral:rRNA from 1 species